UACGAAGGGGGCUAGCGUUGUUCGGAAUUACUGGGCGUAAAGCGCACGUAGGCGGAUAUUUAAGUCGGGGGUGAAAUCCCGGGGCUCAACCCCGGAACUGCCUUCGAUACUGGGUAUCUUGAGUUCGGAAGAGGUGAGUGGAAUUGCGAGUGUAGAGGUGAAAUUCGUAGAUAUUCGCAGGAACACCAGUGGCGAAGGCGGCUCACUGGUCCAUUACUGACGCUGAGGUGCGAAAGCGUGGGGAGCAAACAGG
rnacentral:rRNA from 1 species